UACGUAGGCAGCAAGCGUUGUUCGGAGUUACUGGGCGUAAAGGGUGUGUAGGCGGCCUUUCUAAGUUUGGUGUGAAAUCUCCCGGCUCAACCUGGGAGGGUGCGCCGAAUACUGAAGGGCUAGAGUGCGGGAGAGGAGAGUGGAAUUCCGUGGUGUAGCGGUGAAAUGCGUAGAUAAUGUCACAGAACACCGAUUGCGAAGGCAGCUUACUAUGGCUGUCAUUGACGCUGAGGCACGAAAGCGUGGGGAUCAAACAGG
rnacentral:rRNA from 1 species